CGAGAAGCACGAGGUCUUUGCUGAGCAUCAUCCCUGGAGAACAACAAACAUCCCUGGGGACUCCACAAAUCCUCUAUUGGCGGCUGAGAGACCAGAGAAGGACCUCAGCCUUUAAUUGAGGAUGUUUUCCUGCCAAGGAGGGAAAAAGAAAUCCUAACAAAUAACAAGUUCAUGGAGUGCUUAAAUCUGAGGAUAUGUUCAAGUGCAGACAUAACAUCAGGAACCCUUGUUCAAACAAAAUCCUCUUGGAGUGACUGCAAUUAAACCAAGAAAGGACGUGGACCUGGUCUUUAUUUUUGAUCUCUUGCCUCUACAGUGAUUCAGGUUGGCUUGGAUAAUAAAAAUAAAUCCCUCCUCCUCUUGCCAUAAAUCAGCAUAUUCUGGCUUUUGUCCCCAAGAAGAGCCUGUCUGUUCCACUGCCAGUGUUAUUCCCAGUUCUUUGUCCCAGUUCUAGGACUGGAUUAUCUUCAGGGACAGGCUGUAGCCUCG